UCUUCCAGGAACUCAGUGCUGGUCCAGUUCCACAAUGACCAGUUGUACCGUGGAUUCCAGGUAGAGUACUCAUUCAGAACCACGGACCUCACCCAGGAACAGAGACAAGACCAGCAUUUGAAACACAAAAGACCCUGCAGAACCAGCAACUCUAUCAUUGUACCCCACCAUUACAGACACCCGAAACUGCACAUACCUGCAUGGAGCACACAUGCUUAGUACAUCAGGGGCUGACCCUUGCCUGGGUAUGCCUCCUGUCACUAGGGUCACACACAGUUUGCCCCUAUAAGAAGGGGCAGUGAAAACAGACCCAGUGGGAACACCAUUUCCAAGCGGACCAGACCAGCUUCACGUCACCUAUCCACCCCAGAGGCCCUGCCGGCGACCCCCUCUGGACAACACCGAGCUGAAGGAGACCCCGACUAGCCAUCGAGGAUCAACUUCUAGCCUGGGAUAGGUAGAUAUUACCUGCACACCUCCUCCUACAAUUUGGACUCUCUUUCUCUCUCUGUCUGUCUCCUCCUGGACUUCAGUGGACUUCAGCCCCUGCACCAAGCCUCUCUAACCCCUGCUGCCACUGUGGGUGUGGGUGUGGGUGUGGGUGCAAGGGAACCAAUUUGGCAUUGUGUCAUCAUUUCCCCUGUUCAAUAAAACCACUGUCAGUUGCAA